AACGAACGCUGGCGGCAUGCCUAACACAUGCAAGUCGAACGAGACCUUCGGGUCUAGUGGCGCACGGGUGCGUAACGCGUGGGAACCUGCCCUUAGGUUCGGAAUAACUCAGAGAAAUUUGAGCUAAUACCGGAUAAUGUCUUCAGACCAAAGAUUUAUCGCCUUUGGAUGGGCCCGCGUAGGAUUAGCUUGUUGGUGGGGUAAUGGCCUACCAAGGCGACGAUCCUUAGCUGGUCUGAGAGGAUGAUCAGCCACACUGGGACUGAGACACGGCCCAGACUCCUACGGGAGGCAGCAGUGGGGAAUAUUGGACAAUGGGCGAAAGCCUGAUCCAGCAAUGCCGCGUGAGUGAUGAAGGCCUUAGGGUUGUAAAGCUCUUUUACCAGGGAUGAUAAUGACAGUACCUGGAGAAUAAGCGCCGGCUAACUCCGUG
rnacentral:rRNA from 1 species